CGGGAUUCCCCCUUCCCCUUCCCCCCGGGGUCUCCUCCAGACCCCUCUCCUGCUCUGCGGCGCCGCUGCGGGACCCGCCGGAAGGAGGCGGUGGCGGCGGCGCGGGCCUGGGAAUGUGGCGGCGGCUCUGAGCCCUCCCCUUCGGCCCGGCCGCCAUGGAGCCGCGGCGGUGACAGCCCCGGACACCUCAGAGCCCCGGCGCCCGCCGGGCCCGACGCUCGCCGAGAUGGAUGAACAAGAGGCCUUGAAAUCCAUCAUGAAGGACCUGGUAGCACUCCAGAUGACCCGACGUCACAGGCUGACUGGGUAUGAUACCAUGAAGAAUAAAGACACUGCUCACUCCAACAAACAG